GACGAACGCUGGCGGCGUGCUUAACACAUGCAAGUCGAACGGAAAGGCCCUGCUUUUGUGGGGUGCUCGAGUGGCGAACGGGUGAGUAACACGUGAGUAACCUGCCCUUGACUUUGGGAUAACUUCAGGAAACUGGGGCUAAUACCGGAUAGGAGCUCCUGCUGCAUGGUGGGGGUUGGAAAGUUUCGGCGGUUGGGGAUGGACUCGCGGCUUAUCAGCUUGUUGGUGGGGUAGUGGCUUACCAAGGCUGUGACGGGUGGCCGGCCUGGGAGGGUGACCGGCGACAUUGGGACUGAGAUACGGCCCAGACUCCUACGGGAGGCAGCAGUGGGGAAUAUUGCACAAUGGGCGGAAGCCUGAUGCAGCAACGCCGCGUGCGGGAUGACGGCCUUCGGGUUGUAAACCGCUUUCGCCUGUGACGAAGCGUGAGUGACGGUAAUGGGUAAAGAAGCACCGGCUAACUACGUG
rnacentral:rRNA from 1 species